rnacentral:rRNA from 1 species
UACCAGCACCCCGAGUGGUCGGGACUAUUAUUGGGCCUAAAGCAUCCGUAGCCGGUUCUGCAAGUCCCCCGUUAAAUCCAGCUGCUCAACAGAUGGGCCGCGGAGGAUACUACAGAGCUAGGAGGCAGGAGAGGCAAGCGGUACUCAGUGGGUAGGGGUAAAAUCCGUUGAUCCAUUGAAGACCACCAGUGGCGAAGGCGGCUUGCCAGAAUGCGCUCGACGGUGAGGGAUGAAAGCUGGGGGAGCAAACCGG